rnacentral:rRNA from 1 species
AGAGUUUGAUCCUGGCUCAGGACGAACGCUGGCGGCGUGCCUAACACAUGCAAGUCGAACGGAGUUGAAAGGAGCUUGCUUUUUUCAACUCAGUGGCGGACGGGUGAGUAACGCGUGAGUAACCUGCCUUUCAGAGGGGGAUAACGUUCUGAAAAGAACGCUAAUACCGCAUAAGAUUGUAGUUUCGCAUGGAGCAGCAAUCAAAGGAGCAAUCCGCUGAAAGAUGGACUCGCGUCCGAUUAGAUAGUUGGCGGGGUAACGGCCCACCAAGUCGACGAUCGGUAGCCGGACUGAGAGGUUGAUCGGCCACAUUGGGACUGAGACACGGCCCAGACUCCUACGGGAGGCAGCAGUGAGGGAUAUUGGGCAAUGGGGGAAACCCUGACCCAGCAACGCCGCGUGAGGGAUGACGGUUUUCGGAUUGUAAACCUCUGUCCUCUGUGAAGAUAGUGACGGUAGCAGAGGAGGAAGCUCCGGCUAACUACGUGCCAGCAGCCGCGGUAAUACGUAGGGAGCAAGCGUUGUCCGGAUUUACUGGGUGUAAAGGGUGCGUAGGCGGAUUGGCAAGUCAGAAGUGAAAUCCAUGGGCUUAACCCAUGAACUGCUUUUGAAACUGUUAGUCUUGAGUGAAGUAGAGGUAGGCGGAAUUCCCGGUGUAGCGGUGAAAUGCGUAGAGAUCGGGAGGAACACCAGUGGCGAAGGCGGCCUACUGGGCUUUAACUGACGCUGAGGCACGAAAGUGUGGGUAGCAAACAGGAUUAGAUACCCUGGUAGUCCACACCGUAAACGAUGAUUACUAGGUGUUGGAGGAUUGACCCCUUCAGUGCCGCAGUUAACACAAUAAGUAAUCCACCUGGGGAGUACGACCGCAAGGUUGAAACUCAAAGGAAUUGACGGGGGCCCGCACAAGCAGUGGAGUAUGUGGUUUAAUUCGACGCAACGCGAAGAACCUUACCAAGUCUUGACAUCCCUUGACGGUGCUGGAAACAGUAUUUCUCUUCGGAGCAAGGAGACAGGUGGUGCAUGGUUGUCGUCAGCUCGUGUCGUGAGAUGUUGGGUUAA